rnacentral:rRNA from 1 species
AGUCAAUCUAACCUAUGGACGGGGAUAACCUCGGGAAACUGAGAAUAAUACCCGCUAGAUCAUUAUGCCUGGAAUGGUUAAUGGUUGAAAUGAAUUUCGCCAUAGGAUGGGACUGCGGUCUAUCAGUUUGUUGGUGAGGUAAUGGCCCACCAAGACUAUAACAGAUACGGGCUCUGAGAGGAGAAGCCCGGAGAUGGGUACUGAGACACGGACCCAGGCCCUAUGGGGCGCAGCAGGCGAGAAAACUUUGCAAUGUGCGAAAGCACGACAAGGUUAAUCCGAGUGAUUCCUGCUAAAGGAAUCUUUUGUUAGUUGUAACACUACUAGUGAAUAAGGGGUGGGCAAGUUCUGGUGUCAGCCGCCGCGGUAAAACCAGCACCUCAAGUGGUCAGGAGGAUUAUUGGGCCUAAAGCAUCCGUAGCCGGCUAUGUUAGUUUUCGGUUAAAUCCAUCUGUUCAACAGAUGGGCUGCCGGGAAUACUGCAUAGCUAGGGAGUGGGAGAGGUAGACGGUACUCCGUAGGAAGGGGUAAAAUCCUUUGAUCUAUGGAUGACCACCUGUGGCGAAGGCGGUCUACCAGAACACGUCCGACGGUGAGGGAUGAAAGCUGGGGGAGCAAACCGGAUUAGGUACCCGGGUAGUCCCAGCUGUAAACAAUGCAAACUCAGUGAUGCAUUGGCUUGUGGCCAGUGCAGGGCCGCAGGGAAGCCGUUAAGUUUGCCGCCUGGGAAGUACGUACGCAAGUAUGAAACUUAAAGGAAUUGGUGGGGGAGCACCACAAGGGGUGAAGCCUGCGGUUC